rnacentral:rRNA from 1 species
AAUCAACGCUGGCGGCGUGCCUAACACAUGCAAGUCGAGCGAGAAAGGGGCUUCGGCCCUGAGUAAAGCGGCGCACGGGUGAGUAACACGUGGGUAAUCUGCCCUUGAGUGGGGAAUAACACCGGGAAACCGGUGCUAAUACCGCAUACGAUCACGAUGUUCGCGGAUGUUGUGAUGAAAGGAGCAAUUCGCUCUUGGAGGAGCCCGCGGCUGAUUAGCUAGUUGGUAAGGUAAUGGCUUACCAAGGCAACGAUCAGUAGCCGGUCUGAGAGGACGGUCGGCCACACUGGAACUGAGACACGGUCCAGACUCCUACGGGAGGCAGCAGUGGGGAAUUUUUCGCAAUGGGGGCAACCCUGACGAAGCAACGCCGCGUGGGUGAUGAAGUCUCUUGGGACGUAAAACCCUUUCGACGGGGAAGAAACCGCAAGGUUGACGGUACCCGUAGAAGAAGCCCCGGCUAACUCCGUGCCAGCCGCCGCGGUAACAC